rnacentral:lncRNA from 1 species
UUUUUCUUAUACCUUUCCUGCAUAUAAAUGUCUUUCAUUCCCUUGGCUGAAAAGAAGCAGUGCCUGGCUAGGAAGAAAGUUGAACGCCAUAUGGAAUACGACCCUAAGAGUUGCCCAAGCGGUCAAUGACAAGAGAGGGCAAAAGGCACGUUGAGAACCACGCCUCUGACGAUUUCUACCCUUAUAAGUUCCAAGUCAUUAAUUUUAAC